rnacentral:rRNA from 1 species
AUUGAACGCUGGCGGCAGGCCUAACACAUGCAAGUCGAACGAGUGGCGGACGGGUGAGUAAUGUCUGGGAAACUGCCUGAUGGAGGGGGAUAACUACUGGAAACGGUAGCUAAUACCGCAUACCAUCGGAUGUGCCCAGAUGGGAUUAGCUAGUAGGGGGGGUAACGGCUCACCUAGGCGACGAUCCCUAGAUGGUCGGAGAGGAUGACCAGCCAAACGGGAACUGGGACACGGUCCAGACUCCUACGUGAGGCAGCAGUGGGGAAUAUUGCACAAUGGGCGCAAGCCUGAAGCAGCCAUGCCGCGUGUAUGAAGAAGGCCUUCGGGUUGUAAAGUACUGUCAGCGGGGAGGCGUUACCCGCAGAAGAAGCACCGGCUAACUCCGUGCCAGCCGCCGCGGUAAUAC